GUGGGUGUGGCUCAGUGGCAGAGCACUUGUCUUUCACAUGUGAGGCACUGGGUUGGAUUCUCAGCACCACA
rnacentral:tRNA from 1 species